UGGGGACAAGGUACCAUGGUCACCGUAACGUCAGUUAGCCCCACGGCCCCGUCUGUCUUCCCCCUGACCUCCUGCACCGGCGACGACACCCCCCAGGUCACCUUCGGCUGCCUGGCCAAAGGAUACUUCCCCGAGCCGGUCACCGUGACGUGGAGCCCAAGCGUCGCCUCCUCGGGCGUGAAGACCUAUCCCUCCCUGCUGCAACCUUCCAGCGGCCUCUACACGCUCAGCAGCCAGGUCACCGUCCCGUCCAGCAGCUGGAAGUCUAACACCUAUAGCUGCAACGUACAACACCAGCCCACCAGCUCCAGCAUCUCCAAGGAAAUCCCAAAGCCCCUCCCCAUUGAACCCCAUGCCCCCGAGGUGCAUGUCCUCCACUCCUCCUGCACCAACCACCCAGGCACCAUCCAGCUGGUGUGCUUCAUCUCCGGCUUCUACCCCGAGCCUUUGACGGUGCAAUGGCUGGUGAACGGUGAGCGUGGGCUACUUCAAAGUGACACCGACCUUGCCAAGAAGGACGCCGACGGCCACACCUUCAGCACCCGCAGCAAUGCCAGUGUCUCCCAGGACGAGUGGCUGGAGGGCAAGACGUACACCUGCCAGGUGUACCACCCGGGCACCGGAAGCAAAAAGCAGGACCACGCCCGGAAGUGCAGAGAAGAAACAACAUCUCCCAGCAACAUCCAGGUCUUCCUGGUGCCCCCGUCUCCUGCCGCCCUGUAUGUGGCCCAGAGCCCCAUGCUCACCUGCCUGGUGGUCAACCUGCCGAGCGACUCUGGCCUCCAGGUAGUCUGGUCCCGAGAGAAGCCAGGGUCCAUUGUCCCUGAUCCCCUGACCCUCACUGAGCAGUUCAACAGCAGCUUCACCGCCUCCAGCUCCAUGCCCAUCUUUACCCGCGACUGGGAUGCCGGAGAGACCUUCACCUGCAAAGUGGAGCACUCAGAGCUGCCCUCGCCCCUCAUCAAAUCCAUCUCCAAGAAGCCAGGCAGGCGCUCUGGCCCAGGCAUCUACCUCCUGCGCCCCCACAACGAUGAGCUGAGCAGCUCCGAAGACUCCGUCAGCCUCACCUGUCUGGUGCGGGGCUUCUUCCCCGAGGACAUCUCAGUGCAGUGGAUGAAGAACCACAAAGCCGACGAGAGCAUGGAAUACUUCACCACCCAGCCCAUCAAGGACGGAGCUGGCGACUCGAACUUCUUCCUCUACAGCAAGCUGAAAGUCAACAAGGCCAGCUGGAACAGCGGGGACACCUACACCUGCAUGGUCAUCCACGAAGCCCUGCAGAUGAAGUUCACCCAACGCAGCGUCAGCAAAGUCUCUGGUAAAUGAAGACAUCUCCUCCCAGCCCCACUGCUAGUAUUGUCCAGUACAACUUCCUGUAAAUAAUCUCUGUGCCCGCAAUGACAAAUGAAUAAACGGAACUAGUCUGAGCUCA